AGCGGCGGAUGGGUGAGUAACACGUGGGGAACCUGCCCCUAAGUCUGGGAUACCAUUUGGAAACAGGUGCUAAUACCGGAUAAUAAAGCAGAUCGCAUGAUCAGCUUUUGAAAGGCGGCGUAAGCUGUCGCUAAGGGAUGGCCCCGCGGUGCAUUAGCUAGUUGGUAAGGUAACGGCUUACCAAGGCGACGAUGCAUAGCCGAGUUGAGAGACUGAUCGGCCACAUUGGGACUGAGACACGGCCCAAACUCCUACGGGAGGCAGCAGUAGGGAAUCUUCCACAAUGGACGCAAGUCUGAUGGAGCAACGCCGCGUGAGUGAAGAAGGUUUUCGGAUCGUAAAGCUCUGUUGUUGGUGAAGAAGGAUAGAGGUAGUAACUGGCCUUUAUUUGACGGUAAUCAACCAGAAAGUCACGGCUAACUACGUGCCAGCAGCCGCGGUAAUACGUAGGUGGCAAGCGUUGUCCGGAUUUAUUGGGCGUAAAGCGAGCGCAGGCGGAAAAAUAAGUCUAAUGUGAAAGCCCUCGGCUUAACCGAGGAACUGCAUCGGAAGCUGUUUUUCUUGAGUGCAGAAGAGGAGAGUGGAACUCCAUGUGUAGCGGUGGAAUGCGUAGAUAUAUGGAAGAACACCAGUGGCGAAGGCGGCUCUCUGGUCUGCAACUGACGCUGAGGCUCGAAAGCAUGGGUAGCGAACAGGAUUAGAUACCCUGGUAGUCCAUGCCGUAAACGAUGAGUGCUAAGUGU
rnacentral:rRNA from 1 species